rnacentral:rRNA from 1 species
AUAUCAAUAAGCGGAGGAAAAGAAACCAACCGGGAUUCCCCUAGUAACGGCGAGUGAAGCGGGAAGAGCUCAACUUGAAAAUCGGUGCGGCCCCGCCGCAUUGAAUUGUAGUCUAUAGAGCUGUUGUCAGUCAAGCUCUCGGGAGAAGUCUCUUGGAACAGGGCAUCAUAGAGGGUGACAAUCCCGUCUGUGCCCGGGAAUGCUUGACGUACGAUACGCUUUCAACGAGUCGAGUUGCUUGGGACUGCAGCUCAAAAUGGGUGGUAAAUUCCAUCUAAAGCUAAAUAUUGGCGAGAGACCGAUAGCGCACAAGUA